AUACGGAGGAUGCGAGCGUUAUCCGGAUUUAUUGGGUUUAAAGGGAGCGUAGGUGGGAUAUUAAGUCAGCUGUGAAAGUUUGGGGCUCAACCUUAAAAUUGCAGUUGAUACUGGUUUCCUUGAGUACGGUACAGGUGGGCGGAAUUCGUGGUGUAGCGGUGAAAUGCUUAGAUAUCACGAAGAACUCCGAUCGCGAAGGCAGCUCACCGGGCCGGAACUGACACUGAUGCUCGAAAGUGCGGGUAUCGAACAGGAUUAGAUACCCUGGUAGUCCGCACAGUAAACGAUGAAUACUCGCUGUUUGCGAUACACUGUAAGCGGCCAAGCGAAAGCGUUAAGUAUUCCACCUGGGGAGUACGCCGGCAACGGUGAAACUCAAAUGAAUGGGCGGGG
rnacentral:rRNA from 1 species